rnacentral:rRNA from 1 species
UACGUAGGGGGCUAGCGUUGUCUGGAAUCAUUGGGCGUAAAGAGCGUGUAGGCGGCCCGGUAAGUCCGCUGUAAAAGUCAAAGGCUCAACCUUUGAAUGUCAGUGGAUACUGCCGGGCUAGAGUCCGGAAGAGGCGAGUGGAACUCCUGGUGUAGCGGUGGAAUGCGCAGAUAUCAGGAAGAACACCAACGGCGAAAGCACUCUGCUGGGCCGACACUGACACUGAGAGACGAAAGCUAGGGGAGCGAAUGGG